CUAGAUGUAGGUCCUGGUUGAAGUCUAUUAUAAGCUUUUAUAGAGCUCUAAUGGAAGCCUUAUCUCUUGUGAUAUGCUUUCUCUUACAGUAAAUGGAGCUUUCCGCUCUCGGCAUCUUCAAAGCAGAUUGUAAUGCUUUCUUAAUCUCAUUUUCUUCUAAUCUACUUUGCAGUGGUUUUCCUUUCCUCUCCGCCGCUGCGAUUAUGGCUUCUGUUGGACUCCCGAGCCAAAACCAUUUGUUCGGAUGAAGAUGACAGCCGCUGCAUCGGAGUUAGCACUCCAGCAUCCAAAAGAUUAAUAUUUCGGCAUUGUUGAGAUGUUAUCCCCUUAGUCUCCAAAGGGUCACGGAAUGAUGCUGAGGAAAAAGUAAGAGGUAAUGAAGGAGCCAUGUUCGCAUGUAACCUAAAGGUGGAAAAAAGCUUGAUCAAGAUGGGGCCAUGGGUGGUAGUACCUAAUGCCAAAUCACCUCAAAAGGAAUACGAGAAUCAUAUUGUCAUUGUAACUUAAUUCAAGCUCAGCCUUUACGUUGCGCUCUCUCAUUGCCACAAACUACAAACACAGACAUAAAAAACAGGGCUCCUUUGGUGGGGUGAGGGUAAAUAGUUACGAACUCAUACCCUAGGGAAAGACAUUUAACUUUUCAAUGUCCAUCAUAGACAUCAUCAUUUCGUGCCACCUUUGAUUCCUUUUGGGCACAUAAAAAAUGUAUACAAACCCUUUUUCUUAUACCUUUACUGUCUUCUUUACCUUCCACACUUUCAUAUAAUCCACCAUCCCAGUCAAACCUUUCAUUCAUUCCAUUACAUUCAAUCUAAAUUUUAUCUUUACAUUAAUUUUCCUCAUCUGCCUUUCAUGCAAGUAAAAUCCCUCUUCAGUUCUAUAUCAGAAUUUAUACUUCACAAAUCUCAUUUAUUGCUGCAUACUAUUUUUCCACUCUACUUCUAAACCCCACAGGCCUAUAUAGAGAAAAUUCCUAUUUAUGCUCUAUUUUAAAUUAUGGUCGCAAUUGCGGCUACGUUUCAAUUAGUAAAAUCGAGA